GCCUGCCCUCUCCUCUGUUAAGAUGAAGUUUGAAAUAAGGGGGAGGCACAGCUAUGAUGCUGUUAUCUCAUUAUCUCCCUUGGCAGUAGAUCCUUGGAGGAUCUACCCAGAAGGAAAACUUAGACCAGUAUCUUCAAGCUGCUUGUAGCCCUUUCUGCUGGCUACUACAAGAACUGUGAAUGUCAGAGUGGUGAUCAUGCUAAUUGUACAGGAAGAAGCUGUGACCUCCUCAUCCUCUGAAAAUGUUUCCGCUGAGGAUGUGAGAGUACACAAAUGGUGCCAAGCAACUGAAUGCAUGCAGAAGUGGUCAAAACAGCGAGUAAUAGGAAGUGUCUGCAUCUCCUUACAAGAUUUUGCUGCAAGUUUAAACCACACAGAAGAGUGCAACCUGAAUAUGGAUCAUCCAUGUAUGUGGGACCUGAAAGAGUAAUUGCUUGAUUUUCAAAUCCAUCUUGAACGCCUCAAACCUAACACCAAGACUUGAAAGAUUAUCCCAAUCCACUACCAGUGGUCUUUGCUUUCGGUAGAGACCAGGGAAACUUUCUUUUCUCUAUAUCUGCCUCACAUCAAUCAGCAUAUGCUAGGUAAUGUCAGGGAAGAAGUAUACCAAUCAAUACCAAUGAGUAGAUAUUAGCAGUGAUACUACCAAUUUUCCAAAUGUGUAUCUCUAUGUACUAUUUUAAUUUUAAAAUGCAUGUAUGCAGAAGUGAUAAUAGGGAUAUAAUAGUAUAGAUUAGUUUAAUGAUACAAUACUCUUCCCUAAGGGGUGAUAUUUUUCCUCCUCACCAUAGAAUAAAACCAACAUUUCAGUGCA
rnacentral:lncRNA from 1 species